rnacentral:rRNA from 1 species
UACGUAGGGUGCAAGCGUUGUCCGGAAUUAUUGGGCGUAAAGAGCUCGUAGGCGGUUUUGUCGCGUCGGCUGUGAAAACCCUGGGGCUCAACCCCCGGGCCUGCAGCCGAUACGGGCAAACUAGAAUUCGGUAGGGGAGACGUGGAAUUCCUGGUGUAGCGGUGAAAUGCGCAGAUAUCAGGAGGAACACCGGUGGCGAAGGCGGGUCUCUGGGCCGAUAUUGACGCUGAGGAGCGAAAAGCGUGGGGGAGCAAACAGG